rnacentral:rRNA from 1 species
ACGGGAGGCAGCAGUGGGGAAUAUUGCACAAUGGGGGAAACCCUGAUGCAGCGACGCCGCGUGAGUGAAGAAGUAUUUCGGUAUGUAAAGCUCUAUCAGCAGGGAAGAUAAUGACGGUACCUGACUAAGAAGCCCCGGCUAACUACGUGCCAGCAGCCGCGGUAAUACGUAGGGGGCAAGCGUUAUCCGGAUUUACUGGGUGUAAAGGGAGCGUAGGUGGCGUGGCAAGUCAGAAGUGAAAGCCCGGGGCUCAACCCCGGGACUGCUUUUGAAACUGUAGCCCUUGAGUAUCGGAGAGGCAAGCGGAAUUCCUAGUGUAGCGGUGAAAUGCGUAGAUAUUAGGAGGAACACCAGUGGCGAAGGCGGCUUGCUGGACGACAACUGACGCUGAGGCGCGAAAGCGUGGGGAGCAAACAGGAUUAGAUACCCUGGUA